rnacentral:lncRNA from 1 species
GGAAAAUGAGCUUAAACAUGAGGCUUGGAGGAGAAAGAAGGGCUGGGGAGAAAUAUGCUGCCAAAG